rnacentral:rRNA from 1 species
CCUACGGGAGGCAGCAGUGGGGAAUAUUGCACAAUGGGCGGAAGCCUGAUGCAGCAACGCCGCGUGAGGGAUGACGGCCUUCGGGUUGUAAACCUCUUUUAGCAGGGAAGAAGCGUAAGUGACGGUACCUGCAGAAAAAGCGCCGGCUAACUACGUGCCAGCAGCCGCGGUAAU